UACGGAGGGGGCUAGCGUUGUUCGGAAUUACUGGGCGUAAAGCGCACGUAGGCGGCUUUGUAAGUUAGAGGUGAAAGCCCGGGGCUCAACUCCGGAAUUGCCUUUAAGACUGCAUCGCUAGAAUUGUGGAGAGGUAAGUGGAAUUCCGAGUGUAGAGGUGAAAUUCGUAGAUAUUCGGAAGAACACCAGUGGCGAAGGCGACUUACUGGACACAUACUGACGCUGAGGUGCGAAAGCGUGGGGAGCAAACAGG
rnacentral:rRNA from 1 species